rnacentral:rRNA from 1 species
ACGGGUGAGUAACGCGUGGGAAUCUACCGUACCCUACGGAAUAGCUCUGGGAAACUGGAAGUAAUACCGUAUACGCCCUAACGGGGAAAGAUUUAUCGGGGUAUGAUGAGCCCGCGUUGGAUUAGCUAGUUGGUGGGGUAAAGGCCUACCAAGGCGACGAUCCAUAGCUGGUCUGAGAGGAUGAUCAGCCACAUUGGGACUGAGACACGGCCCAAACUCCUACGGGAGGCAGCAGUGGGGAAUAUUGGACAAUGGGGGCAACCCUGAUCCAGCCAUGCCGCGUGAGUGAUGAAGGUCUUAGGAUUGUAAAGCUCUUUCAACGGUGAAGAUAAUGACGGUAACCGUAGAAGAAGCCCCGGCUAACUUCGUGCCAGCAGCCGCGGUAAUACGAAGGGGGCUAGCGUUGUUCGGAAUUACUGGGCGUAAAGCGCACGUAGGCGGGUAUUUAAGUCAGGGGUGAAAUCCCGCAGCUCAACUGCGGAACUGCCUUUGAUACUGGGUGUCUUGAGUAUGGAAGAGGUAAGUGGAAUUGCGAGU